rnacentral:sRNA from 1 species
GGUGCAUGUCUUUAAAAAUCUUCUUCUCAAGAACCACUGCACCAGAAAUGCCAAUUUUUACACAAAAGCUUGUAUAUAUAGUGUAGAUUUAAAAAAUCGUGACACUCGGACCAAAACUGGGGCCCCAGGCGGGUUUCAAAGUUUAACAUAGAAAUACAUAGGAAAAUGUUUUAAAAAAUUCUUCUCAAGAACCACGUGCUGCACCAGAAAUGCCAAUUUUUACACAAAAGCUUGCAAUUAUUGUGAAGAUUCUAAAUUGUGACCCCCCGGACCAAAACUGGGCCCCCAGGCGGGGUUUAACAUAGAAAUGCAUUUGAAAAAUGUUUUCAUGACUUUUGUUCCAUUUAUUCAACUAAACUGUGCACCAAAAACCCC